UCAACCUAAUUACAUGUCUUUGGUUUCAUUUCAGAAGGCUCGGGUGUGAGCUAAACUGUUUCAAUUUCAUAGUUUAUUCAUUUUCAGCUGAUGCAACGUGGCCCAUCCAAGAUGUGAAUUUAGUGGAUGAGGGUAAGCACUUAAUUCCUAACAUGGUGAGGUUUGAUUGAGCCAUAUCUCAUUUGAUCUAUUAAGUAGGUAGGGUGGCAUGUGGCCCAAUUAAAUGUUAUACCACAUUGGGGCCACAUUCAUAAAUUUGCGUUGAAGCUAGGAUUUACUUAGAUUCACAUUGAAGCUAUGUUGUCAGAAGCGACUGAAGUAGUGCCUUAAACAAAUUAAUGUGAAUGUCUUGAUGGUAGUUGUAACAAACUCACCAUUUACAUUGAUGCCUCUAUGUUGUGUUGAAUUUCAUGAAGUUAGAGAGUGAUUUUUUUUUCUUUUCCUUGGGUGUAAGAGUAUUUAUGGAGAUAUUUGACAAUUCAUAUGUGAAAUGCACGUUGGCUUUGGUUUCUUUGUUCAAACCAAGUAAUGACUUUUGCUGUCACCUUUUCUAAUUUGAUAUUUACCUUAACUGUUGGCAUCUACUAGAAAAUCAUUGUUUACUUUUUGUCAUAGACUAGAAGAAAAGCUAUGCCAAUUUGCUGAUCCCAUGUUCUGCACCACAUGUUUGAACAAUUUUGGAGGCUUUGGUGCCUGCACUUUUCAUGAAUGUUUACAUUGUUGGAUUAAAUCAACUAUUUGACAUUGAAAUAGACAAGGUAUAUACUCCCGUAUGGAUGGUUUUGCCAUGCUUUUUAGAUCAUACUGUCUACACUAGAAUCUUGCAUAGAAGGAAGAACUUAGAAGGAAAAAAAAAAUUUCUCGAUUGCGAGAUCUAUCUCUUACUUUAGAGGUGUUAUAUGAUGCUUGAUUGGGAGAAACAAUAUGGAUUUGUUCGACCCGGAAGUAGCAGUGGUUCGUCCGCAUUAUGUAGUUUAGAGGAGUCUUGGGUCCAACAUACACAUCUGAUUUUAUCAUUUCUGAAGUGUUUUGAUUGUUUCAUGAUACUAAUGAUUUAGCACAAAUGUGAAAUAUUUCAGAUUGCUGGUGGAUCUGAACAUACUACACGUGCAAAACUCACAUACUCACAAGAAUCAUAUGGUAAAGCUAGAUGUGUAACGUUUAGCAGACAUUUAUAUGAUGUGGACUUUUGCUACAAGCUGGCCAAAGAGGAAUCAAUGGUCAUUCUUCCAAGUGUGAUGAUAUGUGUGUGAAAUCUUAGUAAGAGGGAGCUGAAAAUUGAUUUCGUUCGAAGCAAAUCAGACAAUAGCUUUACAUAGAUAGUAUUCCAUAUGGGCUGGAUGGUACUCAAUGCAUUGGCCAGUCUUUUAUAUAAGUCGGGGUAUAUCUGCAGAGAUAUUAUGGGAUGGUGGUUGGCUUCUAUGCCAACUUCUUUCACA